AGGACGAACGCUGGCGGCGUGCCUAAUACAUGCAAGUAGAACGCUGAAGGAGGAGCUUGCUCUUCUGGAUGAGUUGCGAACGGGUGAGUAACGCGUAGGUAACCUGCCUGGUAGCGGGGGAUAACUAUUGGAAACGAUAGCUAAUACCGCAUAAGAGUAGAUGUUGCAUGACAUUUGCUUAAAAGGUGCAAUUGCAUCACUACCAGAUGGACCUGCGUUGUAUUAGCUAGUUGGUGAGGUAACGCUCACCAAGGCCGAGAUACAUAGCCGACCUGAGAGGGUGAUCGGCCACACGUGGGACUGAGACGACGGCCCAGACUCCGUAGGAGGCAGCAGGUAGGGAAUUCGUUCGGACAAGUGGACGG
rnacentral:rRNA from 1 species